AUUGAACGCUGGCGGCAGGCCUAACACAUGCAAGUCGAACGGUAACAGGAAGCAGCUUGCUGCUUUGCUGACGAGUGGCGGACGGGUGAGUAAUGUCUGGGAAACUGCCUGAUGGAGGGGGAUAACUACUGGAAACGGUAGCUAAUACCGCAUAACGUCGCAAGACCAAAGAGGGGGACCUUAGGGCCUCUUGCCAUCGGAUGUGCCCAGAUGGGAUUAGCUAGUAGGUGGGGUAACGGCUCACCUAGGCGACGAUCCCUAGCUGGUCUGAGAGGAUGACCAGCCACACUGGAACUGAGACACGGUCCAGACUCCUACGGGAGGCAGCAGUGGGGAAUAUUGCACAAUGGGCGAAAGCCUGAUGCAGCCAUGCCGCGUGUAUGAAGAAGGCCUUCGGGUUGUAAAGUACUUUCAGCGGGGAGGAAGGGAGUAAAGUUAAUACCUGUGCUCAUUGACGUUACCCGCAGAAGAAGCACCGGCUAACUACGUG
rnacentral:rRNA from 1 species